CCCUUAGAUGUUCUGGGCUGCACGCGCGCUACAAUGAUGAAUUCAACGAGUUUAUAACCUUGGUUGAAAAGCCUGGGUAAUCUUUUGAACUUUCGUCGUGAUGGGGCUAGACCCUUGCAAUUAUUGGUCUCCAACGAGGAAUUCCUAGUAAACGCAAGUCAUCAGCUUGCAUUGAUUACGUCCCUGCCCUUUGUACACACCGCCCGUCGCACCUACCGAUUGAAUGGUCCGGUGAAAUCUUCGGAUUGAGACUUUGAUUUCUUCACGGAAAACGCUGUUUUAAAAAGUUGAUUAAACCUUACCAUUUAGAGGAAGGUGAAGUCGUAACA
rnacentral:rRNA from 1 species